rnacentral:rRNA from 1 species
GACGAACCGUGCAAACGUUAUUCGGAAUCACUGGGCAUAAAGGGCGCGUAGGCGGCUUCCUAAGUCAGGGGUGAAAUCCGGCAGCUCAACUGUCGCAGUGCCUUUGAUACUGGGAAGCUCGAGGGAUGUAGGGGUCUGUGGAACUUCCGGUGGAGCGGUGAAAUGCGUUGAUAUCGGAAGGAACGCCGGUGGCGAAAGCGACGGACUGGACAUCUUCUGACGCUGAGGCGCGAAAGCCAGGGGAGCAAACGGG